UGAGCAAUCUGCCCUUCUCUUUGGAAUAAGCGUUGGAAACGACGUCUAAUGCCGAAUACGACCUCCUUUCGCAUGAUCGGAGGUGGAAAGCUCCGGCGGAGAAGGAUGAGCUCGCGGCCUAUCAGCUAGUUGGUGUGGGUAAUGGCCCACCAAGGCGACGACGGGUAGCCGGCCUGAGAGGGUGACCGGCCACACUGGGACUGAGACACGGCCCAGACCUCCGUACGGGGA
rnacentral:rRNA from 1 species